UUACAUACAAAGAUAUGUCGGCGCGUGGGUGUUGGAAUGAGACAACCUUGUUCCCAGGGUCUCUCAUCUUCCCGCCCCUGAGAGACCCUGGGAACGCGGUUGAGAUUGAACAGAGCAGUCGCCAAUAAUAGAGCAGGCAUAUCGGGCCGAUUUACGCACUGACUUAUGUUCGUCUGAAUUUCUGAUUACUUACGCCGCUAUGCAGAAGAAGAAAGCUUCCGCUUCCCCUCCAGCAAUGGUUUUUCAACGAAGACCACCACGACAAACUCUCCAUAGAUCACCUUCAUCACAGCAAAAUAAGGGUAAGUCUUUAUUAUCUGUGAAUUAUGAGUGUAAAAUUUAGUUUAACUUUGUUGUGAAAAGGGAUAAGUGGAAAAUAAAAACGGGAUGAAUGAAAAUGUGAGGUGGGAUAAAACUGUUGGUGAUUGGGAUCUUGUGCACUAAAGGCAUUCACAGUCCAGUGUCAACUGAUACCCUCGCUCAACCCUGAUUCAACACUUGAUCAACGUCUUGAUCAACACUUGAUGGACAUCUUGAUUGAUACUUGGUCAACACUCUAUGAACAUCUCGAUCGACACCUGAUCGACACUUGAUCGAUAGCCGGUUGAUAGUCGGCCAAGUGUUGACCGACUCAUAUACAUCGAUCAACACUCAAAUUGGCAUGUGUGCAAAAAUAAGUUGACUCUUGACCGACUGUCGACCAAGAUGUUGGUCAAGCAACAAUAUCAAUGGAGGUGUCAAUCAAAUGUCAAUUGAGUAUCAAUCAAGUGUUGAUCAAGGGUCUCAAUUGAGGGCAUCUAUUGACUCUUGACAACAGAGGCCUUUACUACACACCUGUGGGGUUACUCCUUAUAAUGGCCUAUAUGGGGAGGUUCCCACUGAAAGGGGUACCUUCAGGCUUUAGGUAUAUGAAAGGGUAGGUAAAUCUGUCACCUUGACUCCUGCCACAAUUUGAACUGAAUGAACAAUACUUGUUUUUUUGGUUAACAUCUCUUCUGGUAUC